rnacentral:rRNA from 1 species
CUAAGAAUAUUCCGCAAUGGACGGAAGUCUGACGGAGCGACGCCGCGUGGAUGACGAAGGCCGAAAGGUUGUAAAGUUCUUUUGCUGGGGAAGAAUAACCGCAGGAGGGAAUGCCUGUGGGAUGACAAGAACCGGCGAAUAAGCCCCGGCCAACUACGUGCCAGCAGCCGCGGUAACACGUAGGGGGCGAGCGUUGUUCGGAAUUACUGGGCGUAAAGGGCAUGUAGGCGGCUUGGAAGCGGCGNGAAGAUCUGCAGCUUAACUGCAGGGGUGCGCUGGGAACUGCUGAGCUUGAGUGACGGAGAGGGAGCUGGAAUUCCUGGUGUAGGGGUGAAAUCUGUAGAUAUCAGGAAGAACACCGAUGGCGAAGGCAAGCUCCUGGCCGAUGACUGACGCUGAGGUGCGAAAGUGUGGGGAUCAAAACAGGAUUAGAUACCCUGGUAGUCCACACAGUCAACGAUGUGCACUAGGUGCUGGGGCGGUAGCUUCGGUGCCGGAGCGAACGUGGUAAGUGCACCGCCUGGGGAGUAUGCUCGCAAGGGUGAAACUCAAAUGAAUUGACGGGGGUCAUA